CACACGACUCUCGGCAACGGAUAUCUCGGCUCUCGCAUCGAUGAAGAACGUAGCGAAAUGCGAUACCUGGUGUGAAUUGCAGAAUCCCGCGAACCAUCGAGUCUUUGAACGCAAGUUGCGCCCGAGGCCACUCGGCCGGGGGCACGCCUGCCUGGGCGUCACGC
rnacentral:rRNA from 1 species